GGACUACCCGGGUAUCUAAUCCUGUUUGCUCCCCACGCUUUCGCACCUGAGCGUCAGUACCGGGCCAGUGAGCCGCCUUCGCCACUGGUGUUCUUCCGAAUAUCUACGAAUUUCACCUCUACACUCGGAGUUCCACUCACCUCUCCCGGACUCGAAGAUCGCCAGUAUCAAAGGCAGUUCCGAGGUUGAGCCUCGGCAUUUCACCCCUGACUUAACGAUCCGCCUGCGUGCGCUUUACGCCCAGUGAUUCCGAACAACGCUAGCCCCCUUCGUAUUACCGCGGCUGCUGGCAC
rnacentral:rRNA from 1 species